GAAGAAGGAGAGAGCCCAGAAGGGGGCUGGAGGGGAAGAAGGAGAGAGGCCAGAAGGGGGCUGGAGGGGAAGGAGAGAGCCCAGAAGGAGGCUGGAGGGGAAGAAGGAGAGAGGCCAGCAACUAUUUCCUUAAGCAUUUGCUUCAUUGAAGCCUUGAACAAAGCCUUCAGCCAUUUUAUUUGGCAACUAAGGCAGCACCCUGCAGAGUUUU
rnacentral:lncRNA from 1 species